CCCUCUAAACUGUGAGUACAUUUUGAGACCCUUAUAUCAUAUUCUAAAACCACUGUGUCACGAUGCUUCUCCCUCACCUUAAAGUGUCGAUGUAGUCCUUAAGCUUAUGAUCUGUCUGUUCUCUCGUUCGUACAAUGUUUCACUCCGUCUUUUAUAUCCUCACAUGAAAAACCAAUUUUUAUGUUAAAACAAUGUUGUUAUGCUAACAUGUUGUUAGCCAUGUUUUAUGGACUUAGGCGAUAUCUUAGCUUCUAGUUAUAGGUACUUAUGAAAAGUUAAUUAAUUUACAAAGCAAUUCCAUUUUAUAAAAUGACAUAGGGUUUUGACCAAACUAAUGAAAUGUCCAGAAUAUCAUAAACAUUCCUUAUAAAAAAAAUGAGGUCCUUACUAUGAAAAUUACAAAAAUACCCUUUAUAGGGACUGCUUCCAUAAGUUUAACCCAAACUAUCUGAAUUAUACUACAACCAUCGUUUUGGUUCGUGAAAUUGAAAAGUUCCAAAUAUAGACUACCCUUGAAAUAGUCUUAAGAGUUCAUAUAUAAUUUUUCAGAUUUUUCCAUUGAGUGUUACGAUUUUUAAGGCUAAUAUCACAAUAACAGUACCAUACAUUAAAAAAGGCAAAAUAACACUAUAGGUAUCUAAAUAUGCUUCAAAAUGAAACUUCAGGAGCAUAAACUCAUAUUUAUUUUUUAUAAAAGGUUCAUAUCCAAAAUCUAUCACCAUGAUGUUCUGUUAUCGAUUUAAUAGGAUUUGUGGUGUUUUUCCAUGAAAAUGAAAGAAUAAAGAAGGAAGUACAAAAAAUAAACCUUUUUUUAUCAACCUACCAUCAUCUUUUUAGGUUGCUGAAACUCUUAAGUUUUAAGUUCCAGAACCUACAUAGCUUCCUUCAUUUUUUCUAAAAUUCUAUUACUCAUUAAAAGCAUAAAAAAAUACAUUUUAACACUAAAAAUCACUUCUACUUACUUCCCUCUUUAGAUCCAACUUUGUCACUUCCAAAGGUGAAUUCUUUUUCCAGAACUAAAAGUCAUGGGGAAGACUCAAAAUUUAAUUGAACUACUAAAUUAUUUUAAGGUGCUUUUUAAAACAUUUAAGCAACUAAAUACAAGCUUUUAAGCUUCACAAAGCCAUUUAAGCAUGUCCCUAUGUUCCUCUCUCUUUAUCAACUUUAAGAGUGACUUAUAAGAGAUUCACAAUCAUGGGGUUUUACAAAUAUUUCACCUUUUAAAACAAAUGUGUGUUCUUGAAUGUAAGAGUACUUUAAGCAUAGUUUUUGCACAUCACAACUAUAAAACAACCAUACUUAAAACUCUUGGAAAAAAAAUGAACACCUUCCAACUAGUGGUAGGAUUUGGUUUUGACAAAAGCACAAGAAGAGGAAUAGUUGUUCAUGGAACUCUUGACUUAUCCUAGCUUACAAAGCUCACCAAGUUCUAAGUUCUUCAAGCUACCUCAACAUUUCCAUUAAACUACUCUAACCUCUUUUUAAAGCAUAAACGUGAAGAAUAUACAUAAAACAAUUAUUAAAAGAGAUGUAUGAGAUAGUAAAUAAGCUAAAGGUUCCAAAUAUGUAGUUACCUAAUGAAAAAGCCAAGAUCUUGAAGAGUUUUGUGUGAGUUGGAGUUGCAAAACCCCCUUCCUCACCCACUCAAGAAGCCACAUAGUUUGGAGAGAAUGAAGAGAGGGAUGAGAGCUUCUCUCUCUUCUUUGGUUGAAUGUGUGUAUGUGGGAAAUGUGAGUACCUUUAUGUUGUAUGCCUUAAU
rnacentral:lncRNA from 1 species